GGAAGGGAGCCACUGUUGCUAAGCUUC
rnacentral:piRNA from 1 species